GGGCGUGUGGUGUAGUUGGUUAUCAUUCUCGCUUUGCAUCCUUGCAGUUUGUGAGCGGUCCGGGGUUCAAAUCCCUGCGCGUCCA
rfam:Escovopsis weberi scaffold00002, whole genome shotgun sequence.